GUUGUUUGUUAAGCUAGUUAACCUAAAGCUAACCAGCCAACAUCUCUGACCUGCAGAGAAAGGUCUAAAUUGCCAUUAUCUGAUAAAGUCCAUCAUCUCAUCAGUGCUCAUCUUUACACGCUCAGCAUCUCCAGAGCAGGCAACUGUCACCAUGGAGACACCGCCAUUCUUUUGCUCAUGUGAGGAGAUUAAAAGUGCUCUGCCCAUUACUGACUGGUACAAGCCCUGAGACUUGAAUGGAUGGACAGCCAUUAUGAGAAGAAGAAGAUACCUUUUUCAUUUAGACCAGCUUUUUCUUCAAGGCUGCUGCAAGAACAGAAGCUCACCUUUCCCACAGAAAAACCCUUGGAUUAUGACCAGGAACAACAGAGAGCAGGCCCAGUCUUCCUGUAUCUACUCUUCAUUACCCAGCCACAACACCAAGCUUAGAGAGGGCUGCUUGUCAAGGCCCUGUCUCUGCCCAUCAGCCUGCGCUCAUACUAUCCAUCUCUAUCUGAAGGGCAUUGGCCGUGACUGAUUUGCACCAGGAUCCGCU
rnacentral:lncRNA from 1 species